rnacentral:rRNA from 1 species
UUUGAUAGUUCACUACAACCACUAUCCGCCCGGGUACUACGAGCACUAGCUUAAAACCCAAAGGACUUGGCGGUGCUUUAGAUCCACCUAGAGGAGCCUGUUCUAGAACCGAUAACCCCCGUUAAACCUCACCCUCUCUUGUUCUUCCCGCCUAUAUACCGCCGUCGUCAGCUUACCCUGUGAAGGGACCACAGUGAGCARAACUAGUACAACUCAAAACGCCAGGUCGAGGUGUAGCAUAUGAGAGGGAAAGAAAUGGGCUACAUUCCCUGCCUCAGGGAAUACGAACAAUGUAAUGAAAUGUGCAUUARAAGGAGGAUUUAGCAGUAAGCAGAAAAUAGAGUG